rnacentral:rRNA from 1 species
UACGUAGGCAGCAAGCGUUGUUCGGAGUUACUGGGCGUAAAGGGUGCGUAGGCGGCCUUAUAAGUAUGGUGUGAAAUCUCCCGGCUUAACUGGGAGGGUGCGCUAUAGACUGUGGGGCAAGAGUGUGGGAGAGGAAAGUGGAAUUCCUGGUGUAGCGGUGAAAUGCGUAGAUAUCAGGAGGAACACCGGUGGUGUAAACGGCUUUCUGGACCAUAACUGACGCUGAGGCACGAAAGCGUGGGUAGCAAACAGG